GGGGUGUAGCUCCGUUGGUAGAGCGCUGCCUUUGCAAGGCAGAUGUCAGCAGUUCAAAUCCGCAUAUGU
rnacentral:tRNA from 1 species